CGACAGAAAAGUUGCAAGACCUAGUACAAGGAACAUCCAGAUUCACCAGUUGUUGGUGUAUGCGCUUGUUCAAACUUACUGAGCUGACUACUUAAGAUCUGGGCAUUUUACAGUUUUCUAACUUAAAAAAGACCAUGACUACUGAUGAAGGUGCCAAGAACAAUGGAGAAAACCCAGCAGCAGCUAUGGCUGAACGUGGAGAGGAUAUCACCUCUAAAAAAGAUAGAGGAGUAUUAAAGAUUGUCAAAAGAGUGGGGAAUAGUGAGGAAAUACCAAUGAUUAGAGACAAAGUUUAUGUCCACUACAAAGGGAAAUUGUCAAAUGGAAAGAAGUUUGAUUCCAGUCAUGAUAGAAAUGAACCAUUUGUCUUUAGUCUUGGCAAAGGCCAAGUCAUCAAGGCAUGGGACAUUGGGGUGGCUACCAUGAAGAAAGGAGAGAUCUGCCAUUUACUCUGCAAACCAGAAUAUGCAUAUGGCUCAGCAGGCAGUCUCCCCAAAAUUCCCUCAAGUGCAACUCUCUUUUUUGAAAUUGAGCUGCUUGAUUUCAAAGGAGAGGAUUUAUUUGAAGAUGGAGGCAUUAUCCGAAGAGUCAAACAGAAAGGAGAAGGAUAUUCAAACCAAACGAAGGAGCAACAGUUGAAAUCCACCUGGAAGGCCGCUAUGAUGGAAGGAUGUUUGAUUGCAGAGAUGUGGUAUUCAUUGUUGGGGAAGGAGACGACCAUGACAUUCCAAUUGGAAUUGACAAAGCCCUGGAGAAAAUGCAACGGGAAGAACAAUGUAUUUUAUAUCUUGGACCACGAUAUGGUUUUGGAGAGGCAGGGAAGCCUAAAUUUGGCAUUGAACCUAAUGCUGAGCUUAUAUAUGAAGUGACACUUAAGAGCUUCGAAAAGACCAAAGAAUCCUGGGAGAUGGACACCAAAGAAAAAUUGGAGCAGGCUGCCAUUAAAGAAGGCUGUUAAAGAGAAGGGAACUGUGUACUUCAAGGGAGGCAAGUACAUGCAGGCAGUGAUUCAAUAUGGGAAGAUCGUAUCCUGGUUAGAGAUGGAAUAUGGCUUAUCAGAAAAGGAGUCUAAAGCUUCUGAGUCAUUUCUGCUUGCUGCCUUCCUGAACCUGGCCAUGUGCUACCUGAAGCUUAGAGAAUACGCUAAAGCUGUGGAAUGCUGUGAUAAGGCCCUUGGACUAGACAGUGCCAAUGAGGAGGGCUUGUACAGGAGGGGGGAAGCCCAGCUGCUCAUGAACGAGUUUGAGUCAGCCAAGGGCGACUUUGAGAAAGUGCUGGAAGUUAAUCCCCAGAAUAAGGCUGCACGACUGCAGAUCUCCAUGUGCCAGAAAAAGGCUAAGGAGCACAACGAGCGGGAUCGCAGGAUACACGCCAACAUGUUCAAGAAGUUUGCAGAGCAGGAUGCAAAGGAAGAGGCCAGUAAAGCCACGGGCAAGAAGGCUUUAGAAGGGGUCACCAAUGAAAAAGAAACAGAAGGUCAAGCGAUGGAAGAAAAAGCUGGAGGCCACGUAUGACCCCACGCAAAGGAGGGAAGAGCCCUGAUGAACUUGGCCCCUCCUUCACGGGCUUUCACCCAACUCAGGACUAACCAGUGUUUAAUGUCAAGUUUGCUAGAGUCUGUGUGAGUCUGAAAGCAAAUGGCAAAACCAGUAGCUUCCCAGAAAACAGCCACCCUGCUGCUGCCCAGCGCUCUCCUUGAGGGGAUGGCGUGGGACCACUCCAGGUGGGACAAAACAGAAAUCGUGGCAAGACUGAGCCAACAGCUAAGUCCAGCUCAUUUCAGUUUCUGUCAACUUUUAGUAUCUAAUUCAGGGUCCCUUGAGAUAAUCCUGAUAAUUUGGGGCUGUCUGUUAGGUUUUACAUCUGAUUGAACUUCAAUAGCACUGCAGAAACCUAAAAAUAAAUGCCUAAUGACUUUC